CAGGUCUUGUGUGCUAUUAGGAGCACGGAGGCCUCCGUGCUCCUAAGCCGUUUUCGAUGAUGGAGCUUCCGAAUCGACGAUCGGCUCCGUUAGACUUGAUCUAGCAUAUUUGAAGUAUCUAGAAAAUAAAUUUUGUGACUUUUUGAUAUUAUUUACCUAACGAUCGAAAGGGUUCAAAAUCAACGGCUGAAAAUAAAAAUCUCACAAAAAGUGGUAAUAUAGCAUUAAAAUUUUCGAUCAAACAUAUUGAUCUUGCUGUAAAUAGUAUAAAGAAUUUUCUAUCAAAAUUUCAUCUGAUUUGAAUACUUUUAUACCGUUAAACUUGUAAACGUUAUACAUCAACCAUUAAAAAUGGUUGAUUUUGAACCCUUUCAAUUGCUAGGAAAAUGAUACCGAAAAAUCACAAAAAUUAUUUUCCAGAUAGUUCAAAUACACUAGAUCAAGUCUAACGGAGUCGAUCGUUGAUUCGGAAGCUCUAUCAUCGAAAAAGGCUUAGGAGCACGGAGGCCUCCGUGCUCCUAAUAGCACACAAGACCUACUAUAUAUAUAUAUAGAGUCCGGCUACUAUCCUCUUAAGAGGAUAGAAGCCUUUGUCCUAUCAAGUCAUUUUAGAUGAUUGGGACUUCAAAUUGAUAAUCGACACCGUUGAAAUUGAUCUUAUACUGUUAGAAAUAUUUAGAAACCGAAUUUUGUAAUUUUUAAAAAUCAUUAUCAAGUCCAUCGAAGAGUCGAAAAAUGAAAGGUCGAAAACAAAUGACCUUCUGAAAACAGAGGUUAGAUUUUCUCAGUUUACGAUCGAAGUUAUUAAACAUUAUCUAAAUAGUAUAAAGAAUUUUCUAUCAAAAAUUCAACCGAUUUGGAUUACUUUAUACCGUUAAAUAAGAAAACGGCUCAUAUUAGCCAUCAAAAACUAUUAAUUUUGUAAUCCUUUGCUCACUAUGUAAAUAAAUAUUAAAAUUUAUAACAUUUAGUUCUUACAUAAUUCAAAUACUCUAAAUCAACUUCAACGGUUCCGAUCAUCGAUUCGGAAUCUCUAUCAUUAAAAACGAUUUGAUAGGACGAAGGUCCCUAUCCUCCUAAAAGGAUAGCAGCUGGAUUCUAUAUAUGUAGAGAGAGAGAAAGAGAGAGAGAGUGAGGCUGGUAUGCUUCUAGAAGCACAGAGCCCUCCGUGCUUCCUAGUCAUUUUCGACACUGGGAUUUUUGAAUCGACGAUCGGCUCCGUUAGACUUGAUGUAGAGUAUUUGAGUACCUAGAAAAUAAAUUUCACUAUAUAUAUAUAUAUAUAUAUAUAUAUAUAUUUCACUAUAUAUAUANGUUUUCGAUGAUGGAGCUUCCGAAUCGACGAUCGGCUCCGUUAGACUUGAUUUAGCAUAUUUGAAGUAUCUAGAAAAUAAAUUUUGUGACUUUUUGAUAUUAUUUACCUAACGAUCGAAAGGGUUCAAAAUCAACGGCUGAAAAUAAAAAUCUCACAAAAAGUGGUGAUAUAGCAUUAAAAUUUUCGAUCAAACAUAUUGAUCUUGCUGUAAAUAGUAUAAAGAAUUUUCUAUCAAAAUUUCAUCUGAUUUGAAUACUUUUAUACCGUUAAACUUGUAAACGCUAUACAUCAACCAUUAAAAAUGGUUGAUUUUGAACCCUUUCAAUUGCUAGGAAAAUAAUACCGAAAAAUCACAAAAAUUAUUUUUCAG
rnacentral:lncRNA from 1 species